AUUAAUAUAAAGAGUCGAACCUGCCCAAUGAUAUUUUUAAAUGGCCGCGGUACUCUGACCGUGCAAAGGUAGCAUAAUCAUUUGCCUUAUAAUUGAAGGCUAGUAUGAACGGUUUGACAAGAGUAGCACUGUCUCUACUAAAUUUUAUAGAAUUUGGUUUUAAGGUGAAGAAACCUAAAUUAAAAUUGAAAGACAAGAAGACCCUAUCGAGCUUUAAAAAAUUUUUCUUAAAAAUUUUAGUUGGGGCGACUAAGGAACAAUAAAAGCUUCUUUUUUAUUUAUAAACUUAUAUGUUUUGAUCCAAAAAAUGAUUUAAUAGAAUUAGUUACCGUAGGGAUAACAGCAUAAUCUUUUUUGAGAGUUCUUAUCGAAAAAAAGGUUUGUGACCUCGAUGUUGGACUAGGAUAUCCUUAAGGUGUAGAAGCCUUUAAAGGUUGGUCUGUUCGACCAUUAACA
rnacentral:rRNA from 1 species